UCACAAACGACUCUCGGCAACGGAUAUCUCGGCUCACGCAUCGAUGAAGAACGUAGCAAAAUGCGAUACUUGGUGUGAAUUGCAAAAUCCCGUGAACCAUCGAGUUUUUGAACGCAAGUUGCGCCCGAAGCCAUCCGGCCGAGGGCACGCCUGCCUGGGCG
rnacentral:rRNA from 1 species